rnacentral:misc_RNA from 1 species
AAAAGGGAUUUAUGUAUAAAUUUGGAAUAUUAUAAGAUCCUUGCAUUUUCUUGGCAGCAGACGUGAAAUAGACCUUCCAUGAAACCAGAAUAUGAAUCACCCUCUCAACUUGUAUAAGGAAAAAUAGAAAAAUAAAAGAAAAAAUGAUGUGAUUGGUGGAAUUCAAACUCAGACCAACGUAUCCACUGCCUUGACUGUAAUAGCUGGCUUCUCAAAUGUAGCUGCCAACCAUGACCAUGUGGUGGCGUUUUGACGCUUUUAAAUCCUGCAGUCUCAAAUUCACACAGCAGUAUAUGUGAUGUUCUCACCCAAAAAGUUUCAGUUUUGCUCGGAAUGUCUCACAGAAACCUGUGUAUCCACCACUUUUGCUUCAUGUUUUCUCUUACUUCUGCGUUUUGAUCUGGAUGAUCUCGUCUUGGUAUGCUUAACAGUCUGCUCUGAGAUGUUAAUCACUGGCUUUUCAGUAAUAGGAGGUUCAGGAGGAACAUCUGGCCAUGGUGUUCGUUUUGAUGGGACUGUAAUUUCCAAAGGCGGGUCGAUUAUCCAUCCUGGAGGAAAUUUGCUAUCACUGCGAGCUUCAACACGAAGCCACCAAAGCAAAACUUGUCUCCCACAGCUUCCCAGUGGCUCCGUCACAGAAGGGUCCUUCAACAGAGAUAGAGGACUUUCUAUAUCCGCAUCAACAGAAUCUAAAUCCUUCAUCCAGUCUGGUUUAUCUUCAGUUUCCUUCCAAAGCAACCUAGAAUUCAUCACAAACCCAGCCCAUUCCAGCUGUUGAGGCAGUACAGUUGCCCUAUCAUCGAUAAGGAUUGCACUCUUCCCUUCAUACGGUAGAGAAUUAAAGGUAUGCCAACCAGCCAACUUGUUAGAUGCAUUACAAGCAGGACCUUGAACGGGCAUUGACGACCUCUUCUCAACCUCCUCCUUAACUGUAACCAAUGAUGACUCAUCGGCACCACCUGAAUGAGCAAGAAUCCCAAUGGAAACAGCACCAAACCACUUCACAUUCUGGAUCUCAUCAAAUAGGUCCAUACUAUGCAUAUUACUAUCAUCAGCAAACAUCACUAUCCCAUCUAGCUUCUGCUCUCUCACAACUCUCAAAGCACGAAGCCGCAUUUUAGCCUCCAAUUUAUGCCGUCGCUCCCAAGAAUUCGGCAUUCUCUGGUUGAAUCCGACAUGAAUAGUCUUAACUCCCGAUUUGGCGAUAAUCGAAGCGGUUUCAUUACUGACUCCACCAGCCUCAACCACGAUCCAAACGACGUCAUAUGGGACUAGCAUCAGCGAGUGCAUAACACCGGUCAAAUGCAGCAUCUGGAAAGUCCGUACAUAAGUCGGAGUAACCGCAAUAACAGUCCUAGGGCUCUUCACUCCAAACUGAAUCCUCUGCUCUCUCUGAACUCUCUCAAUUAUCUGGUGAGCUCUCAUAACUUCGGUUGGGUUAGGAUGGGGCCAAGGCCGGAUCCGGAUCCCAUGGCGGCCAACGAUCACUCUAGAGCUGAGGGUUUUGUUAAGUGCAGGCAGUUCGGGGUUAACAACCGGAUUGGAAGGGACAUUAAGAGAAUUGGCGAGGUCAGCGGUGGAGGUGAGCUGACGGAAGGGCGUGCUGUAGAGAUUAGAGGUAGAGGUGGAGAAAAGAAACAAAAAAACUAAACGAGAGAAACGGAAACCAAGGACAAGACUAAUAAGGCAGCAAACACCGUGAAGAAGGAGCCAAAAGAUAGCUGCCGGAGAUUUAAUCGCACUUUCAGCAGACGAAUCUAACGGUGUUGAUCCUCUGAAGCUGGUGCUCCGGCGAUUCAUGUAGCUCUGCUGCAGAGCCGAGAGCUUCAUUUGGUUAUCCUCCUCUUGCUCUCUAAGCUAGCUCCAGAGAGAUAGAGAGAGAGAAGAGAGAAGGUUGAAGAGUAAGAGGUGAGGAAGAAGAGGGUAUUUGUUGAGUUAGUUUGAAGUCUUGGUGGGGUUGGUUUGUUAAGGCGUAAAAUUAAUCAGAAGGAUUUCUUUGAAUUCACGAAUCAAUCGCUUUGCAUGUUAUUGUCAUUGUUGCUGCUCUCUCUCACUCUCUCUCUCCCUCUACUGUCAUUACAGGCACAGAC